UUUUACGGUGCAUCAGAUCAAUAUUGGUCGUUCACUUUUUUGUUUGGACGGCCUAGAUAUGGAAAUACUACUGCAGAUUUUGGGUAGUAUAUUUUGCGAUCAGGGGCAGUUUUGGUAGUUCCGCAUGCCCCGUAGCCGUCCGUCACGGCCCUGCGCGUCGCCAAGAUGGAGGAGUUCGACAUAUCUCGUAACCACAUCUCGGGCUCCACAUCCAUCUAGUUCCAGCACGGGCUCCUCUUCGGCGAUCCAGAUCAAACGAUGGUGGGUGGGAUCCACGAUUGAUUCUCCUCCUCGUAGGCAGCACACAGCCGCCGGAGAAGCCCGUGGUGAACGAUGUCAUGCCGACCUCCUCGUGGCCAUCCCCAACCUCUCAUAGGGUUGCAAGUCGUUCAUUCAGGAAGACCUCCUCAACAAUUACACUGAGCAGAUGGUCAACUACUGCAGAAUGGCUAUGGACAGUUGUCACGAAGAUGCAUUGGCUACUGCCUACUGCGGCCUUGUUUUGAAGGAGAAGGAUCAACAAAUAUCAGAAUUAGAGACCAAACCAUACUCUCUAGCGUCAGAGCUGCAUACUUCAGGGGAGAAGGCCACGUCGAAUAAGAUAAUGCUCGCCAAGAAAUUACAAGAAGGGAGAUACAGAUGUAUUAUAUACUCAAUACUUUUUUGGUUCGUCAUGAUCAUAUAUGUUGCUAGAAUUUUAAUCCCCACUUUGUAAGACUAGAUGUCAGCUAGAGAAUUUUUUUGUGGGCCUGAGAUCAUUCAUUGUUGAACUAAAUGAACGUAUUGGAUCUUGGCGGUUUUCUUGCUCUUACUGAUUCAUAAUGCGCCGAUGGUCCAAGA